GACGAACGCUGGCGGCGUGCUUAACACAUGCAAGUCGAACGGAAAGGCCCUGCUUUUGUGGGGUGCUCGAGUGGCGAACGGGUGAGUAACACGUGAGUAACCUGCCCUUGACUUUGGGAUAACUUCAGGAAACUGGGGCUAAUACCGGAUAGGAGCUCCUGCUGCAUGGUGGGGGUUGGAAAGUUUCGGCGGUUGGGGAUGGACUCGCGGCUUAUCAGCUUGUUGGUGGGGUAGUGGCUUACCAAGGCUUUGACGGGUAGCCGGCCUGAGAGGGUGACCGGCCACAAUGGGACUGAGGUAGGGCCCAGAGUCCUACGGGAGGCAGCAGUGGGGAAUAUUGCACAAUGGGCGGAAGCCUGAUGCGGCAACGCCGCGGGCGGGAUGACGGCUUUCGGGUUGUAAACCGCUUUCGCCUGUGACGAAGCGGGAGUGACGGUAAUGGGUAAAGAAGCACCGGCUAACUACGUG
rnacentral:rRNA from 1 species